rnacentral:rRNA from 1 species
GACGAACGCUUGCGGCGUGCUUAACACAUGCAAGUCGAACGGAAAGGCCCUGCUUUUGUGGGGUGCUCGAGUGGCGAACGGGUGAGUAACACGUGAGUAACCUGCCCUUGACUUUGGAAUAACUUCAGGAAACUGGGGCUAAUACCGGAUAGGAGCUCCUGCUGCAUGGUGGGGGUUGGAAAGUUUCGGCGGUUGGGGAUGGACUCGCGGCUUAUCAGCUUGUUGGUGGGGUAGUGGCUUACCAAGGCUUUGACGGGUAGCCGGCCUGAGAGGGUGACCGGCCACAUUGGGACUGAGAUACGGCCCAGACUCCUACGGGAGGCAGCAGUGGGGAAUAUUGCACAAUGGGCGGAAGCCUGAUGCAGCAACGCCGCGUGCGGGAUGACGGCCUUCGGGUUGUAAACCGCUUUCGCCUGUGACGAAGCGUGAGUGACGGUAAUGGGUAAAGAAGCACCGGCUAACUACGUGCCAGCAGCCGCGGUGAUACGUAGGGUGCGAGCGUUGUCCGGAUUUAUUGGGCGUAAAGGGCUCGUAGGUGGUUGAUCGCGUCGGAAGUGUAAUCUUGGGGCUUAACCCUGAGCGUGCUUUCGAUACGGGUUGACUUGAGGAAGGUAGGGGAGAAUGGAAUUCCUGGUGGAGCGGUGGAAUGCGCAGAUAUCAGGAGGAACACCAGUGGCGAAGGCGGUUCUCUGGGCCUUUCCUGACGCUGAGGAGCGAAAGCGUGGGGAGCGAACAGGCUUAGAUACCCUGGUAGUCCACGCUGUAAACGGUGGGUACUAGGUGUGGGGUCCAUUCCACGGGUUCCGUGCCGUAGCUAACGCUUUAAGUACCCCGCCUGGGGAGUGUGGCCGCAAGGCUAAAAUUCAAAGGAAUUGACGGGGCCCCGCACAAGCGGCGGAGCAUGCGGAUUAAUUCGAUGCAACGCGUAGAACCUUACCUGGGUUUGACAUGGAUCGGGAGUGCUCAGAGAUGGGUGUGCCUCUUUUGGGGUCGGUUCACAGGUGGUGCAUGGCUGUCGUCAGCUCGUGUCGUGAGAUGUUGGGUUAAGUCCCGCAACGAGCGCAACCCUUGUUCACUGUUGCCAGCACGUUAUGGUGGGGACUCAGUGGAGACCGCCGGGGUCAACUCGGAGGAAGGUGGGGAUGACGUCAAGUCAUCAUGCCCCCUAUGUCCAGGGCUUCACGCAUGCUACAAUGGCUGGUACAGAGAGUGGCGAGCCUGUGAGGGUGAGCGAAUCUCGGAAAGCCGGUCUCAGUUCGGAUUGGGGUCUGCAACUCGACCUCAUGAAGUCGGAGUCGCUAGUAAUCGCAGAUCAGCAACGCUGCGGUGAAUACGUUCCCGGGGCU